rnacentral:tRNA from 1 species
UCCCUGGUGGCUCAGUGGUAAAGAGUCUGCCUGCCAAUGCAGGAGACGUGGGUUCGAUCCCCGAUCCGGGAA